CAAAGCCGCUCACAAAAUGGCCGCCCCCUGGGCGCCACCCGCCCGCGUGGCUGAGGGUCCUGGAAGUGCCUCUGGGAAAACAGGUGUAAGAAAGGGCAAAACACUGCAUGGUAGUGAGAAGUGAGACAAGAAGGAGAGGGAUGAGGUACUGGAGCACUCUGAAGACCGGGAGCAGAGUAACAGACUGUGAUUUCGUGAGAUGAAGGAAGAAAAUUAUUUCUGCUGACUCUGUAAAGGCACUGGAGGUCCAAUCCAAUGGUUGGAUGUUGAAGUGAUGUUGAA